rnacentral:rRNA from 1 species
GUCUACGGACCAAAGCAGGGGCUCUUCGGACCUUGCGCUAUCGGAUGAACCAUAUGGGAUUAGCUAGUAGGUGGGGUAAUGGCUCACCUAGGCGACGAUCUCUAGCUGGUCUGAGAGGAUGAUCAGCCACACUGGGACUGAGACACGGCCCAGACUCCUACGGGAGGCAGCAGUGGGGAAUAUUGCACAAUGGGCGCAAGCCUGAUGCAGCCAUGCCGCGUGUAUGAAGAAGGCCUUAGGGUUGUAAAGUACUUUCAGCGGGG